rnacentral:lncRNA from 1 species
UCUAAGAAAUUAAUGUUAGGGCAUUGUUGGCCAACAACAAUAGUAGUAAAACUGGAAACACAGUAACAAAAUAAAGAAAGAAAUCAAAUAUUAGGGCUGAUUGGUGAAAUAGGGACUACAUAUUUCGGUUGAUUACUAAAGAAAGAACGGUUAAUUAUUGCACAAUGUGGUGAAGUAAAGAAAGCACGACUAAUUACUAACCAUCUAUAAGGAAUCGAUGCUAACAAAAAAACAAAGUGGGACGGAAAUUGAAAGACAAGUGAAGGUGUGAAGAAGAAGAAGAAGAUACGCACAAAUAGAGACAACAAAACAGAGAGAAACAAAAUCAACGGAAAAUAGAGGUAGAUUGGAAUCGACGAAAAAUAGAGGUGAUAUGGCAGCAGUGACAGCAUGUAAACCACUCUAAACCUCCGAUUGGAACAUAGUGGAGGUGGGAGGGGACGGUGAGGAGGAAACCGACUGAAUACUAACCCGCUUCCGGCUCCACUGCAGUGUUCGAAAACCCUUCCCGAGAGUUCGCCUUCUGUAGCGUCUCCGUUGGUGUAGCCGUCGCCACGUCCCCGCGGUUUCAAAAACGGGGUUCCGUAAGGAUCAGACAAGUGGUGUCAGGUGAAAGGAGUCAGAGGCGGUGUUGAUAUCGGUGGUUAGAUGUCGAUGAAGAUGAGUUGUGACCAAAUAGUAGGAUGUCGAUGAAGGUAUCACCCCUUCCCGAGAGUUCGCCUUCUGUAGCGUCUCCGUUGGUGUAGCCGUCGCCACGUCCCCGCGGUUUCAAAAACGGGGUUCCGUAAGGAUCAGACAAGUGGUGUCAGGUGAAAGGAGUCAGAGGCGGUGUUGAUAUCGGUGGUUAGAUGUCGAUGAAGAUGAGUUGUGACCAAAUAGUAGGAUGUCGAUGAAGGUAUCAAAUGGAGAAGAUGAGUGGGUAAUGAAGAAAAAGGGAGAAGUGGUGGAGACGAAGAGGUUUGAGGAAGGAUCGAGAUGAAGGCGGUGGGUUACAGGAUAGUGAGGCGGUGACCAUGGUUGAGGGAGUAAACUCGUGGAACAGCGUCAGACAAGCCCAUCUCUAUUGGUUUAGAUGGGCGGUGGAAAGAAU